rnacentral:rRNA from 1 species
UACGAAGGGGGCUAGCGUUGGUCGGAAUUACUGGGCGUAAAGCGCACGUAGGCGGAUAUUUAAGUCAGGGGUGAAAUCCCAGAGCUCAACUCUGGAACUGCCUUUGAUACUGGGUAUCUCGAGUAUGGAAGAGGUGAGUGGAAUUCCGAGUGUAGAGGUGAAAUUCGUAGAUAUUCGGAGGAACACCAGUGGCGAAGGCGGCUCACUGGUCCAUUACUGACGCUGAGGUGCGAAAGCGUGGGGAGCAAACAGG